GGGCCGUUAGCUCAGUUGGUAGAGCAGCGGACUUUUAAUCCGCGGGUCCAGAGUUCGAGUCUCUGACGGCCCACCA
rnacentral:tRNA from 1 species